AACCAUAGAAACCUGCGGAGUACCUGCGGAGGGAUCAUUAAAGAGUUUUAUUUACAAGUGCCAAGAGCCUGGUUGUGGGUGGUGUGCCCUUGGUUGUGGGGUGGGUGCUGCUAUAUGCCGGCUCUUGCACUUCAAACAAACAAUCGCAACUAUUGUGAAAAGUGGGGAUAAGAAUGGCUUGGCUUGAAACAAGUAAAAGUGUUUGCCUGAUAAUCUAAUUGGAUUGGAUUGAGUUGGAAA
rnacentral:misc_RNA from 1 species